rnacentral:rRNA from 1 species
CCUACGGUGGCUGCAGUGGGGAAUAUUGGACAAUGGGCGAAAGCCUGAUCCAGCCAUGCCGCGUGUGUGAAGAAGGCCUUCGGGUUGUAAAGCACUUUCAGUGGGGAAGAAAGCCUUGGGGCUAAUACCCUCGAGGAAGGACAUCACCCACAGAAGAAGCACCGGCUAACACCGUGCCAGCAGCCGCGGUAAUACGGAGGGUGCGAGCGUUAAUCGGAAUUACUGGGCGUAAAGCGCGCGUAGGCGGUCUGAUAAGCCGGUUGUGAAAGCCCCGGGCUCAACCUGGGAACGGCAUCCGGAACUGUCAGGCUAGAGUGCAGGAGAGGAAGGUAGAAUUCCCGGUGUAGCGGUGAAAUGCGUAGAGAUCGGGAGGAAUACCAGUGGCGAAGGCGGCCUUCUGGACUGACACUGACGCUGAGGUGCGAAAGCGUGGGUAGCAAACAGGAUUAGAUACCCCAGUAGUC